AUGAAAUGUGGAGUGUGACUGUAAGUGUUGAAGAAAUGUAUAAAUAGCUAAGAUAAUGAAGUUAGGAACACUGAUAGAUGGAACAGGAGAGCGGAAAAAGACUGUGAGUGGCGGAAACGUUGGUUGGAGCUGUGAGUGGAGAGAAAUGGAGGAAGCUGCAGGAGGAGAGAUCGGUGAGUGAGUGAAGGUGAGUUCCGGUUAUUGCUAGAGGAAGGAUUACGGUGAUGGAGAAAGUGCAAGAUAGUUAGUAGGGAGGUGAGGUGAGUUGGAGGGAGUUUGGAGGAGCAGAAAACGCACGGAGAAAGUGAGGCGAAAUGCUGAAAGAGAGAGAGAGUGGGUGAAGUGAAGUGUUGUGGGGAUUGGUAAGGAUAAGGAGAGGAGUGCUGGAAGCCGAGGCAAACGAAGAGGAGGCAAGAGAGAUACUGAGAGUGGAACGGUUAGAGGUAGAAUGAGUGCGAGAGGGUAGGAGGCGAGAUGCUGACAGAGGAAGAUAGGGAGAGGUAGAGCACUGUGAGAGACUGGUAUUGAUAGGAAGAAGAGAAUGGGAAGUCGAGACAAAC
rnacentral:lncRNA from 1 species